GACGAACGCUGGCGGCGUGCUUAACACAUGCAAGUCGAACGGUAAGGCUCCAGCUUGCUGGGGUACACGAGUGGCGAACGGGUGAGUAACACGUGGGUGACCUGCCCUGCACUUCGGGAUAAGCCUGGGAAACUGGGUCUAAUACCGGAUAGGACCAUGGUGUGGAUACUGUGGUGGAAAGUUUUUUCGGUGUGGGAUGGGCCCGCGGCCUAUCGGCUUGUUGGUGGGGUCAUGGCCUACCAAGGCGGCGCCGGGUAGCCGGCCUGAGAGGGUGGACGGCGACAUUGGGACUGAGACACGGCCCAGACUCCUACGGGAGGCAGCAGUGGGGAAUAUUGCACAAUGGGCGGAAGCCUGAUGCAGCGACGCCGCGUGGGGGAUGACGGCCUUCGGGUUGUAAACUCCUUUCACCAUCGACGAAGGGUUUCUGACGGUAGAUGGAGAAGAAGCACCGGCUAACUACGUG
rnacentral:rRNA from 1 species